UCUGGAUGGUUCUGUUUGGCUGUCCGAGGAAUAUGGCUUCUGCAAAAAUGUUCCAGACGAUCCAUAUGUUGGUGUUGCAAGUGCGAAAAUGCAUGAUUCCGCAUGCUUAUUUCAUCUAACAUUGUAAACACUAAAAUGGAUACUACUGAUAGAGUAGCAUUUGGACCGUAAAAAGGAAUGCAAAAUGUAAAACUAUCUGUCAAAAUACAAAAUUAGAGGCCCG
rnacentral:misc_RNA from 1 species